UACAUAGGCCCCGAGCGUUAAUCGGAAUCACUGGGCUUAAAGGGCGCGUAGGCGGGCUAGUAAGUCCUUUGUGAAAUCCCACAGCUCAACUGUGGAACCGCAGGGCGAACUGCUGAUCUUGAGGAAGCUAGAGGCUGGUAGAACGAUAGGUGGAGCGGUGGAAUGCGUAGAGAUCUAUCGGAAUGCCGAAGGUGAAGACAGCCAGCUGGGGCUUUCCUGACGCUAAAGCACGAAAGCGUGGGGAGCAAACCGG
rnacentral:rRNA from 1 species